GUACGGGAGGCAGCAGUGAGGAAUUUUCCGCAAUGGGCGAAAGCCUGACGGAGCAAUGCCGCGUGAAGGAUGAAGGCCUGUGGGUUGUAAACUUCUUUUCUCAGAGAAGAAAUAAUGACGGUAUCUGAGGAAUAAGCAUCGGCUAACUCUGUGCCAGCAGCCGCGGUAAGACAGAGGAUGCAAGCGUUAUCCGGAAUGAUUGGGCGUAAAGCGUCUGUAGGUGGCUUGAAAAGUCUCCUGUCAAAGAUCAGGGCUUAACCCUGGGCCGGCAGGAGAAACUCUUAGGCUAGAGUUCGGUAGGGGCAGAGGGAAUUCCCGGUGGAGCGGUGAAAUGCGUAGAGAUCGGGAGGAACACCAAAGGCGAAAGCACUCUGCUGGGCCGCGACUGACACUCAGAGACGAAAGCGAGGGGAGCAAAUGGGAUUAGAUACCCCGGUAGU
rnacentral:rRNA from 1 species